UUAACUCAAAUUUGUAUGCAGUUGGAACAGCGCCCCUAGCGGCAAACGUAGGCAAACGUUUCAACUCCAUACAAAUUUGAGUUA
rnacentral:pre_miRNA from 1 species